rnacentral:tRNA from 1 species
GGGGAUAUAGCUCAGCUGUAUAGUGCCUGCCUGGCAAGCACGGGGUCCUGAGUUCAAUUCCCGGUACCA